rnacentral:rRNA from 1 species
AUACGGAGGAUGCAAGCGUUAUCCGGAUUUAUUGGGUUUAAAGGGUGCGUAGGCGGUUUGCUAAGCGGGAGGUGAAAUGCCGGCGCUCAACGUCGGAAGUGCCUCCCGAACUGGUGGACUUGAAUGACUCUGCCGUGGGAGGAAUGUGUAGUGUAGCGGGGAAAUGCUUAGAGAUUACACAGAACACCGAUUGCGAAGGCAUCUCACGAAGGGUUGAUUGACGCUGAGGCACGAAAGCGUGGGGAUCAAGCAGGAUUAGAUACCCUGGUAGUCCACGCAGUAAACGAUGAUGGCUAACCGCUGGGCUUAUCAGUUCAGUGGCCAAGCGAAAGCGAUAAGCCAUCCACCUGGGGAGUACGACCGCAAGGUUGAGACUUAAAGGAAUUGACGGGG